rnacentral:rRNA from 1 species
AUUGAACGCUGGCGGCAUGCCUUACACAUGCAAGUCGAACGGCAGCACGGGAGCAAUCCUGGUGGCGAGUGGCGAACGGGUGAGUAAUGUAUCGGAACGUGCCCAGUCGUGGGGGAUAACGCAGCGAAAGCUGUGCUAAUACCGCACACGAUCUAUGGAUGAAAGCGGGGGAUCGCAAGACCUCGCGCGAUUGGAGCGGCCGAUAUCAGAUUAGGUAGUUGGUGGGGUAAAGGCCCACCAAGCCUGCGAUCUGUAGCUGGUCUGAGAGGACGACCAGCCACACUGGAACUGAGACACGGUCCAGACUCCUACGGGAGGCAGCAGUGGGGAAUUUUGGACAAUGGGCGCAAGCCUGAUCCAGCAAUGCCGCGUGCAGGAUGAAGGCCUUCGGGUUGUAAACUGCUUUUGUACGGAGCGAAACGGCUUCCACUAAUACUGGGGGCUAAUGACGGUACCGUAAGAAUAAGCACCGGCUAACUACGUGCCAGCCGCCGCAGUAAUAC